GCUCUGUUAGUUUAAUGGACAGAACACUUCGCUACGGACGAAGAGAUCUGGGUUCGAUUCCUAGACGGAGUA
rnacentral:tRNA from 1 species